ACACUCAUGUUUCUCUUCAUAUCGUAUGAAUCUUUCGCCUUUUACUAAAGAUUUCCGUGGACAGGAACACAAUGCGUAUAAACUAAUUUUUUGAUGCUCUGCUUAACUGCGGGGCU
ensembl:snRNA U5 U5 spliceosomal RNA